rnacentral:lncRNA from 1 species
AUGUACUCAUUGUUCUCAGAAAUAAGAAGUGUUGUCUGGAAAUUAAAACGGGUGUCUGAGGUUAUACUUUUUUCUUGCAUCUUGAUUCUUACAGUUAAGAACAAACAUGAUGUUGUUGCCUGUGUUUUCCUUAGAACCACAGAAUGGCUUGGGUUGGAAGGGACCUCAGUGAUCAUCCAGUUCCACCCCGUGCCGUGGGCAGGUUUGACAGCUUAUUUGGGCACCUUUAUGGGCACAGAGCUGUGGAUGCCUCUGCCCUUCACGAUGACUUUCCUCAAGUACUUGAAUUGAUCUUUUUCCCAGAUGAAGACAUACACUGUUCUGAACCACAUUUGAGGGUGUUCCCAACUAAGCUUGGUUAGGUGAGUAAAUAAUGGAAGUGGCCUGCUCGAGAGUUUUACUCUCUCUUUUUAUGUAUGGGAUCAUAUUC